AGUGAACGCUGGCGGUAGGCCUAACACAUGCAAGUCGAACGGCAGCACAGUAAGAGCUUGCUCUUACGGGUGGCGGGUGGCGGACGGGUGAGGAAUACAUCGGAAUCUACUUUUUCGUGGGGGAUAACGUAGGGAAACUUACGCUAAUACCGCAUACGACCUACGGGUGAAAGCAGGGGAUCUUCGGACCUUGCGCGAUUGAAUGAGCCGAUGUCGGAUUAGCUAGUUGGCGGGGUAAAGGCCCACAAAGGCGACGAUCCGUAGCUGGUCUGAGAGGAUGAUCAGCCACACUGGAACUGAGACACGGUCCAGACUCCUACGGGAGGCAGCAGUGGGGAAUAUUGGGCAAUGGGCGCAAGCCUGAUCCAGCCAUACCGCGUGGGUGAAGAAGGCCUUCGGGUUGUAAAGCCCUUUUGUUGGGAAAGAAAAGCAGCAGGUUAAUACCCCGCUGUUCUGACGGUACCCAAAGAAUAAGCACCGGCUAACUUCGUG
rnacentral:rRNA from 1 species